rnacentral:rRNA from 1 species
AACGAACGCUGGCGGCAUGCCUAACACAUGCAAGUCGAACGAGACCUUCGUGUCUAUUGGCGCACGGGUGCGUAACGCGUUGUAACCUUCCCUUAUGUUCGGAAUAACUCCCCGAAUGGUGUGCUAAUACCGGUUAAUUUCUUCUGACCAAAGAUUUAUCGCCUUUGGAUGGUCCCGCGUUGGAUUAGCUAGUUGGUAGGGUAAAAGACUACCAAGGCGACGAUCCAUAGCUGGUCUGAGAGGAUGAUCAGCCACACUGGGACUGAGACACGGCCCAGACUACUACGGGAGGAAGCAGUGGGGAAUAGAGGAAAAUGGGCGAAAGCCUGAAAAAGCAAUGCCGCGUGAGUGAUGAAGGCAUUAGGGUUGUAAAGCUCUGUUAACCGGGAUGAUAAUGACAGUACCGGGAGAAUAAGCACCGGCUAACUACGUG